UUUAUGGAGAGUUUGAUCCUGGCUCAGGAUGAACGCUGGCGGCGUGCCUAAUACAUGCAAGUCGAGCGAACAGAUAAGGAGCUUGCUCCUUUGACGUUAGCGGCGGACGGGUGAGUAACACGUGGGUAACCUACCUAUAAGACUGGAAUAACUCCGGGAAACCGGGGCUAAUGCCGGAUAACAUGUUGAACCG
rnacentral:rRNA from 1 species